GAACAGGCAGCUCGGUGGGAGAAGGAGACCAAGGUGGGUGGGCAGGAACCCCGGGCGAGUGAGGGAAGAAGUCCUCCCAGCUGUGGCUGCAUAACACGUGGGCUCCAUGCUCUGGUUGCAGCAGGGACCAGCCUGAGAGUCAAAUCAGGGAUUACACAAAAGCAACAAGGAAGCCCAAUUCGUGGAUUGGAUUUUUUUUCAAAACCAGGACAGUUGACUGUUUUGUUCCAGAGACUCUGGGUAGGUAGCAUCACCGAGGGAAAAGAAAUCCCAGUGAGAAUCAGUUUUCGGUGCUGCCUCUGACACUGACUAGCUGUGUGAUGGACAGGGAGGCCUGGCGUGCUGCAGUCCAUGGGGUCGCAAAGAGUCACACACGACUGAGGGACUGAACUGAGCUGAGCUGAGCUGUGUGAUCCCGGGCGAGUGGACUAGAGAGACGAAUGUUGCCUGCCUGACCCUGACCUUCAGGAACCACCCGCCUCCCCAGGAAGACCCCAGGCCCCUGAGGAGCCACGCUACAGAGCACAAAGCUGAUGGGGGUCACAGAGCACCACUGGAUUGUUGCCCACAAGGACAAGGCAGCCUUGGCUGGAACCCAAAGGUGUGGUUCAGGUACUUGGUCGCUAUGACUCCAAAACCCAAAAGUUCUGAAAACCAAUGUCCUCUGUAACUCAUCUGGUGGCAAAAACUG